CUCUGUGUGUCUUUGGGAGAGUGGGCGUGUUUUGGGCGUAGGCUUGGCUCCAGCUCUCAGCCUGACACAGCUGAUCCCAGCACCCUAAUCACUCACCUGCCUGCCAUCAACUCAUCACCUGCAGCCUACAAAUGUUUGGACUCCACUCGGCGCGAUUGCCAGAUCGUUUCACCUUGCUACAUGUGUUCCCUACUUGCCGUGUGUGCCUGCCUCAGCCUGCUAGCCUCGGCCUGCUAGCCACAGCCUGCUAGCCUCAGCCUGCUAGCCUCAGUGUGCUCUCCUGGACUGCAAAGCCUAGGACUACAAGCUGCCUCCUUUUCCCUCAGGCCUGGCCCCGCUAAGGAGUCUCCUAGCUAACUCCGCCUCGGCCGCCAACGCCUCUGGAGGAAACAUCUGGAAGAGACGGGCAGACGAGGGAGCGGCCCGGAAACCUGCUGCCGUAAAAUCUUGGAUUAUGGAUGGAGAUACGUGGAAGCCGCAGAAAGGGAAUGGCUGGCAUUCAACAUGGGGAAAUGGUGAAAAACUAACUGAAAUGCUAACAGUUAGCACGCUAGCCUUAUAGCGUCAUUUAACAAAAAACACAACUCAUAGUUGUAAAGCUAGCAUGUUAACUGUUAGCAUGCGUGAAGUACUAGAAUUUACGACUCUGCGGUGUUGACCUACAGAAUGAUCAAAAAUAAAGCUAACAUGCUAACAGUUAGCACAUGUCAAGUACCAAAAUAUCAAAGUACCAAAAUCUAUGACUCUGUGGUGUUGAGCUGAAAAAUUACCUAAAAAAGCUACUUUUGAUAUUCUACGUAUGCUAACAGAAGCGGAACUGAAAUAUUAACAGUUAUCGCGUUAGCCUUAUAGCGUUAUUUAACGAAAAACACAAAUCAGAGUUGUAAAGCUAGCAUGUUAACUGUCAGCAUGCGUUAAGUACCAGAAUUUCCGACUCUGUGGUGUUGACCUACAGAAUAAUCAAAAAUAAAGCUAACAUGCUAAAAGUUAGCACGUGUCGAGUACCAAAAUAUAUGACUCUGUGGUGGUGACCUGCAAAAUUACCGAAAAAAGCCAGUUUUGAUACUCCACGCAUGCUAACAGAAGCCGAACUGAAAUGUUAACAGUUAGCACGUGGUGUCAUUCAAAAGAAAACUUAACCCAUUGUUGUAAGGUUAGGAUGUUAACUGUUAGAUUGCGCAAAGUACCAAAAUUUAUGACUCUGAGGUGUUGACCUACAGGAUAAAAAAAAGGUAGCAUGCUAACAAUAAGCCUGUGUCGAGUACCAAAAUAUGACUCGGUGUGUCAAAUACCUAAAAAAGCUAGUUUUUAUACUCUACGCAUGCUAACAGAAGCGGAACUGAAAUAUUAACAGUUAGCACGUGGUGUCAUUCAAAAGAAAACUUAACCCAUUGUUGUAAGGUUAGGAUGUUAACUGUUAGAUUGCGCAAAGUACCAAAAUUUAUGACUCUGAGGUGUUGACCUACAGGAUAAAAAAAAGGUAGCAUGCUAACAAUAAGCCUGUGUCGAGUACCAAAAUAUGACUCGGUGUGUCAAAUACCUAAAAAAGCUAGUUUUUAUACUCUACGCAUGCUAACAGAAGCGGAACUGAAAUAUUAACAGUUAGCACGCUAGCCUUAUAGCGCCAUUUAACGAAAAACACAACUCGUGGUUGUAUAGCUAGCUCUUUAACUGUUAGCAUGCGUGAAGUACCAGAAUUUACAACUCUGCGGUGUAGACCUACAGAAUGAUCAAAAAUAAAGCGAACAUGCUAACAGUUAGCACAUGUCAAGUACCAUUAUAUCCAUGUACCAAAAUGUAUGACUCUGUGGUGUUGACCAGCAAAAUUACCUAAAAAAGCCAGUUUUGAUACUCCACGCAUGCUAACAAACGCCUAACUGUAAGGUUAAAAGUUAGCACGCUAGCCAUAAAGCGUUGUUUAACAAAAAACACAACUUGUGGUUGUAAAACUAGCAUGUUAACUGUCAGCAUGCGUGAAGUACCAGAAUUUACGACUCUGCGGUGUUGACUUAGAGAAUGAUCAAAAAUAAAGCGAGCAUGCAAACAGUAAGCCUGUGUCGAGUACCAAAAUAUAUGACUCUGUGGUGUAGACCUGCAAAAUUACCUAAAAAAGCUAAUUUUGAUACUUCACGCAUGCUAACAGAAGCAAAACUGAAAUGUUAACUGUAAGCACGUGGUGUCAUUCAAAAGAAAACUUAACCCAUUGUUGUAAGGCUAGGAUGUUAACUGUUAGAUUGCGCAAAGUACCAAAAUUUAUGACUCUGCGGUGUUGACCUACAGAAUUAAAAAAAGGUAGCAUGCUAACAGUUAGCCCGUGUCGAGUACCAAAAUAUGACUCGGUGUGUCAAAUACCUAAAAAAAAUUGUUUUGAUACUCUAUGCAUGCUAACAGAAGCGGAACUGAAAUAUUAACAAUUAGUAUGCUAGCCUUAUAGCGCCAUUUAACGAAAAACACAACUUGUGGUUGUAUAGCUAGCUUGUUAACUGUUAGCAUGCGUGAAGCACCAGAAUUUACGACUCUGCAGUGUUGACCUACAGAAUGAUCAAAAAUAAAGCGAGCAUGCUAACAGUUAGCACAUGUCAAGUACCAAAAUAUCCAAGUACCAAAAUAUAUGAGUCUGUGGUGUUGACCUGCAAAAUUACCUAAAAAACCCAGUUUUGAUAAUCCACACAAGCUAACAGAAGCCGAACUGAAACGUUAAGAGUUAGCACGCUAGCCAUUAAGCGUUGCUUAAAAAAACACACAAGUCGUGGUUGUAAAGCUAGCAUGUUAACCGUCAGCAUGCAUGGAGUACCAGAAUUUACG